GACGAACGCUGGCGGCGUGCUUAACACAUGCAAGUCGAACGGAAAGGCCCUGCUUUUGUGGGGUGCUCGAGUGGCGAACGGGUGAGUAACACGUGAGUAACCUGCCCUUGACUUUGGGAUAACUUCAGGAAACUGGGGCUAAUACCGGAUAGGAGCUCCUGCUGCAUGGUGGGGGUUGGACAGUUUCGGCGGUUGGGGAUGGACUCGCGGCUUAUCAGCUUGUUGGUGGGGUAGUGGCUUACCAAGGCUUUGACGGGUAGCCGGCCUGAGAGGGUGACCGGCCACAUUGGGACUACGAUACGGCCCAGACUCCUACGGGAGGCAGCAGUGGGGAAUAUUGCACAAUGGGCGGAAGCCUGAUGCAGCAACGCCGCGUGCGGGAUGACGGCCUUCGUGUUGUAAACCGCUUUCGCCUGUGACGAAGCGUGAGUGACGGUAAUGGGUAAAGAAGCACCGGCUAACUACGUG
rnacentral:rRNA from 1 species